rnacentral:lncRNA from 12 species
GCACCCAAGCUUCUUUUGGUUUUCUUUUUUUAUCUCAGACUGUUGUGCCCAAGAUUGUGAAUCUGUGAAUCUGAGAAAUCACAAAUCACCGAGAAGCCAACACCAAUGCAAACACAUGAGGGUUUAUUUACAAGCUCGAGCUUGUGUUCAAGUAUACCCAACACAGUGGAGCGGGGACUUGGACCCCGAGGUGGGUUUUAGCUUAUUUUUAAGAGUUGGUCUCGGGGAACUCCUGAAGGGUGGAGUAAUUCCUCAAGUUCUGUUUACAUUUUGAUAUGGGGCCUUCAAGGGCAUUGAGAUCUGUUCUAAUAGGGGCUUCCUGCCCUUGGACUGGGCUCAGUUUUUAUUCUAUUGUGGGGCUUGCUGUGUCCUGACAGUGAGCAUUCAGGAAGGAAAUGAUGGAUGUGACUCCCUUCUCAGGUGCAUCACAGAGAAUAAAUAAGGAGACUGAACAAAAAGAGCACAAGAUAUUGGGGGCUUCGUCCAUAUCAGAAGGGACUCCUCAGAACCACAGGGAUAGAUGUGGGCCCACAUCCACCCUGACAGGAACACCUGGGCCGCUUCAGGACCUGCAGGGAGGCUUCAGGAAGCUGUGGUGCUGCGUCCACUCUGGCAGGAGCUCCCGGGCCACUCAGGACAUAAUUUGACUCUUCUGGAAGGACCCCCUGGAGGACUCUGGAGGCGCCGUUGGGGGCCACGUCCACAUCAGAAGGGACUACUCAGAACCACAGGGUAAGUGAAUGGGUAGAAUAAUGGUAGGGUCAGGGGAGGGGAGGCAGUUGGUGGUUAGGGUUAGGUGAGAUGUUAGGGGUUAGUGAUUAUGCUUAUGGUUAUGGAUUAGAGGUUAGGGUGAGGGAUAAGGGUAAGGGUCAGUGGUUAGGAGUUAGGAUGGGUGUUAGGGAUUAGGGAACAGGGUUAGGGUUAGCGAUAGGAUUUAGAGUUAGGGUUAGGGUUUAUGCUUUAGGGAUUAGGGCAGGAGGUUUGGAGGUGGGGUUAGGGUUAUGGUUACAGUUAGGGUUGGGCUUAGGUUUCCAUUUAGGGUUAGGGGUUAGGGUGUGAGUUAGGGUUAGGGGUAAGGGUUAGGGGUUAGGGUAAAAGGCUAUGUUUAGGGUUAGGGCGAGGGUUAGGUUUAGGAUAGGGUUUAGUGCUAGGUUUAGGGUUAGUGUUUAGUUAGGGAUUAGGGUCAGGUCAGGGUCAGGGUAUGGUUUUGGAAAAGGGUAAGAGAUAGGUUUAGGGUGUAGUUAAGAGUUAGUUUUAGGGUACAGGUUAGAGUACAGUUUGGGGUAUGUGAUAGGAUUCGUAUUAGAGGGUUAAGGUUAGGGUACAGGUUAAGGUUAGGAAUAGGAUUUGAGUAUAUUAAGUUAAGGUUAGGGUUAGAGGUUAGGGUUAGAUUUAAGGUAGGGGUCAGGCUUAAGGGUUUAGAAUAGGUUUAGGAUUUAGGGUGAGGGUUGGCAGAAAGGUUCAGUGAAUGUGUUUUGGUCUUGGGAUUUGUGUUUGGUUUUCGAUUAGUGAUGGGUUUUGUUUAAGGGUUAGGUUAACAUUAGGCUUAAGUGUAGGGUUAGGGUAAUGUCUGUGUAUGGUUAGAGUUUGGGUCUUGGCAUGUGCCUGCACUGGGACUCCUAGUAUUGGGCAGUUUAGUUUUAUGCACUCAGGGUUUGG